rnacentral:tRNA from 1 species
GCUAGUAGAUUUAACAAGUAACCGAUCAAAUAAAAAACAUAGAAAAAUCAUUAAAUUAGA